UCUACAGCUGAGCAAAAAAAAACUGCCCAUUUAAGAAAGUGGAAUGCUUCUGUUGUGGAAAAAUUGGACAUAUAAAAGCGCACUGUAAAACCAA